CUCCUGACCUCGGGUCUACCCGCCUUGGCCUCCCAAAGUGCUAGGAUUACAGGUAUGAGCCACCGUACCCAGCCACUUGGCUGUUCUUUACUUGAAUUGGUUUCAUUUUGUUGUUUCCUUUUUCCUUAUGGAAAUGCAAAUUCAUUCCCUCAACACAUACAUCUGUGUGACACAGGCCUGGUGUUGCUGCUGUGGAUAAGUGAAGAAGAUGAGGACUGUGCCCAGAAAUAAGAUUUCCUUAGCACAUUACAGGGCAUUAAUUUCUCACUGAAUAGAACUUUAACGAACUUUAACGGUAUCUGACAAGGUUAGAUGUGUAGGCAUCUCAUUGUCAUUCAUUUCUAUGUAGUCUAUAAUUUUGGUUUUGAUUUUAAACAUUUUAUUAUUGAAAUGUCAAACACAUA